GGGGAGCACCACUGGUUCUGUGGGUGAUGAUGUGAAACACCUGAGAGGGAGGAUAUUUCUGUCAGAGAAAAAUGGAAGUGGAAAGGGUUGCUGAUGUACGGGGCUCCUGGUGUGAGAAGGAAGGCAGUGUCUGAUGUUAUGUGUGAAGAUAUGACUGAGCAGAAAAUUGAAGGAAUAAAGAAAGCAGGCUAUGUUUAUGAGAUGGAGUUGCCUGAUCUGAAAUAAAGAUUAUGUUUGGUAACAUAUGGCAUGAUUUCUACAUUGGCAUUUAUCAAGGGAGGUGUGAAGAGUCAGUGUCAAGCAGCUGUAUAUAGAUGUUUUUUUGUAUCUGCUUGAAACCAAGCAAUGGUGCAAGUGCUUAUGGCUAUUGCUCUGUUUGCUCUCACUUGGCCUCCUGUUAUAUAGUAUGGCUAUGUAUUCUUAGUUUUGUAACAUCUGAUCUGCAUGUUUGAAUCAUAGUUUUUGAAAGAAACCAAUGAGAAAUCAGGAGCUGACCUGCAGCCUAGGCUGAAGUUCAAGUGAGAAUGAUCUGGGAUAAUGACAGGCAAUGUUUGCUGUGUCCUCAUCCCAGUAUGGAAGGGUUGAGAACUUGGAUGCUUUGUAGAAAAGCAUCCUAGAAAAGACUCAAAGUGCCAGAAUCAAGAGGCUGGAAAACUUGUGCUACGGGGUCUUUGUAACACUGAGUAAUGUGGUUUAAAAAGACUGACUAUUAUCCACAAAACUAUGUGUGGAUAUAUAUAUAUAUCGCAUGUGUGGUAUAUAUGUACUGACUGGCCCUAUUUUGUGGGAUGGAAGUAACUGGCUGACUUGAGAGAUUUUAUUCUUGUGCUAUUUUUCUAAACUUCCUCUCUAUUCAACCUAGUAGCAAAUAAAGACUUGAGAGUUUUCUAGUGUUACACAUCAUUUUAGCUUCUUGAAUAAUUACUUUUAUGGCUUAAAACCUAUAAAUCUAUUCUUCAUGGAAAAUAGACCUAAGUCUGCAACCAAAAUAAUAUUAUAUGUUAUUGUAAUUCUUUGCACUACAUCUAUCAUAAACUUGAGGAGGCUUCCAACAUCCACCUCAAGGCUUCAGCUGUAUUACUGUAGAAGUUUUGCCAUAAAUGUGAAAGAUUUCUU
rnacentral:lncRNA from 7 species